CCAAGGCGACGAUGGGUAGCCGGCCUGAGAGGGUGUACGGCCACACUGGGACUGAGACACGGUUCAUACUCCUACGGGAGCACAGUAGGGAAUAUUGCGCAAUGGGGGCAACCCUGACGCAGCAACGCCGCGUGAGUGAUGAAGGCCUUCGGGUCGUAAAGCUCUGUCAUGAGGAAGAAAAAAUGACGGUACCUCAUGAGAAAGCCCCGGCUAACUACGUGCCAGCAGCCGCGGUAAUACGUAGGGGGCAAGCGUUGUCCGAAAUUACUGGGCGUAAAGGGUGCGUAGGCGGCCAAUUAAGUCAGAUGUGAAAGACCACGGCUUAACCGAGGGAUUGCAUUUGAAACUGGUUGGCUUGAGUAUCGGAGAGGGUAGUGGAAUUCCCGGUGUAGCGGUGAUAUGCGUAGAUAUCGGGAAGAACACCAGUGGCGAAGGCGACUACCUGGACGAAAACUGACGCUGAGGCACGAAAGCUAGGGGAGCAAACAGGAUUAGAUACCCUGGUAGUCCUAGCUGUAAACGAUGGACACUAGGUGUCGGAC
rnacentral:rRNA from 1 species